CCUAGCUGUCUGUCAGAGCUAUUCUGACCUCCCUUCAGGUGGUGUGUACACCAACGUAUUCAGUGACUUGCCAAAUCCAGUUAUCCUUGGAACAUUUACACCUUUUGGAUGUGGCAGCAUUUCUUUUCCUAAGAGGUCUUGUUGCUGAGACUGGAGUGCAGUGGCACAAUCACAGCUCACCUGCAGCCUUGACCUCCUGGGUUCAAGCGAUCCUCCUGCCUCAGCCUCCUGAGUAGCUAGGACUACAGGCAUGCACCACCACACCCGGGCCGACAUGACAAAUUACCAUAAAUUGGGCGGCUUAAAACAACAGAAAUAUAUUCUCUUACAGUUCAGGAGGCUAGAAGUGAGAAACCAAGGUG